UGAGGAAUAUUGGUCAAUGGGCCAGAGCCUGAACCAGCCAAGUCGCGUGAAGGAAGACAGUCCUAAGGAUUGUAAACUUCUUUUAUACGGGAAUAACGGGCGAUACGAGUAUUGCAUUGAAUGUACCGUAAGAAUAAGCAUCGGCUAACUCCGUGCCAGCAGCCGCGGUAAUACGGAGGAUGCGAGCGUUAUCCGGAUUUAUUGGGUUUAAAGGGUGCGUAGGUUGUUCGGUAAGUCAGCGGUGAAACCUGAGCGCUCAACGUUCAGCCUGCCGUUGAAACUGCCGGGCUUGAGUUCAGUGGCGGCAGGCGGAAUUCGUGGUGUAGCGGUGAAAUGCAUAGAUAUCACGAGGAACUCCGAUUGCGAAGGCAGCUUGCCAUACUGCGACUGACACUGAAGCACGAAGGCGUGGGUAUCAAACAGG
rnacentral:rRNA from 1 species